GACCCUGAUCCCUAUCCUACCCUGGUAUCUCCAACAACUUACUAAUGUGUAAUCUGACAACAGACCACCAAACUGACUGAUCCUGGGAAGCAUGGGAGGUGAGUGUGCAGCACCUCCUUACACUUCCCAGUCUCUAACCACCAAAUGUACAGAUCCUGACUGACCCUGAUCCCCUACCUACCCUGUCCUGGCAAGGUGAGUGCGUAGCACUUCUCUACUGACCCUUGCAUCUCCAUCAGCCAACCUGACUGACUUACAUAUGUGUAAUCUGGCAACAGAUCACCAAACUGACUGGUCCUGGGGAGCAUGGGAGGUGAGUGUGCAGCACCUCCCUACACUUCCCAGUCUCCCAGUUUGACUCUGACCAUCAUCAACCUGACUCAUCCUGGCAAAAGUAGAGACCCUGACUACGGACCUGACUGACCCUGAUCCCUACCCUAUCCUACCCUGCCCUGGCAAGGUGAGUGCAUAGCACCUCCCUACUGACCCUGGCAUCUCCAACAACCAACAUUACAAAUGUGUAAUUUGGCAACAGACCACCAAACUGACUGACCAUGGAAGGACCAUGGGAGGUGAGUGUGCAGCACCUCCCUACCCUUCCCAGUCUCAUAGUUUGACCCUGACCAUCAUCAACCUUACCCUGGCAACUCCACCAACCUGACUGAACAAGAAGGAAGAAGCAGCAUCAUCACAAUGAUCAGAGAAAGAAGAACUCCAAA